AGUAGAUAUCAACAGCAAGCUUUUAAUUUUUUCUUUUCGGACGCCUUUAACCUGUCACGUGAAGUUUAGAAAUUAUUUAACCCAACCAGUCACCUGAAGAUGAAAAUUUGGGAAGCCAUAAAGGAUUCGAAAAAAAAAAGCGAUGGCAAUAGGAUGGCUAAUAUACUUUCUCCAGUUGAUGUUCUAAUUCUGCUGUUGCCGAAGAAACACAACAUGGUGAAUCCGACCUCGGUUCCCCUAGUAUGCUGCAGACAGCCGUGACAGACCUUCAUUGCAGUUAUCAACGUCAGCCCGUUUUAAUGAUUUUCAGCGUUUCCGUGUUGUGACCAUAUUGAUGUUCUAUCUUUUUUUAUUUCUUCCUUUCUUUUUUCGCAGCAUAUUGCAACCAUUUGAGUGUGAGUCUUUAUUUGCAAUUUUUUAAUGACCUGUUCUAUCAGGCUCCUUUAAUUUUGUUGUUAGGACUGAGUACCAAUGUUUCACUUUUUUUUCCCAAAAGACAUUCCUUCUUUAAGGCUUCGAGAAUAGUAGCUUUUUCUUCCGAUUGAUCUAUUUAAUGGUAGAGUUUUCAAACGAGACGAAAUCAGGGUUAAAGCUAUAUAAUUAUUUCCCAAGUGAGAGGUGGCAAUGAUGAAUUAAUAAGCCCUAAUUGAAUACCUUCCCAUUUAUGGCUUCAUCUUUUCAUCAGCUAUAUCUAUAAUUGUCUUAUUGAUCAAAGGACUCGCGGCUUGUGCUUCAAAGACCAAUUAGGUCCUUUAAGAUGAUUCCAUAGAGUGUUCAAGGGUUUUAAUUGAGUUAAUGGUCAGUGAAUUGCGUAUGAAAAGCAAGCCUCUGACCUUUGCAUGCCUUAGGACAAAUUUUCAAAGCACUAGAAUCUACGGCAACCUUCUGAAAUGCCGUCGGUCGAGAAAACGGUGGAACAUUGAGGAAAAGGUUUGUUGAGUUGUGGGGCUUAUUAAAUCAGCCACAACCGGAUGAACAUAUCAUUCAAUAUUCCUGAUUUCUAGGCUAUUUUAGUAGUCAAAUCCCAUGGGUUAUUCACUAUUCCUAUCAAAUUUUAGUCAAAAAUAUCUGUCUGACAAAACGUAAGAUCAAUUUUUGGGUUCGACGGUUCCGUUCCGUCAGAUCAUCUUAAAAUGACCCAAGAAACAUUUGGAAAAUUUGCCCAAAACUGGCGAAUGUAAUGUAAACUUCACAACGAUAUACAAGCUACAUAAGAGAAUUGCAGGAGGAAAGUAUUGUAACCCAUGAAACCUUCAAAAACCUGUUCCCGGUUGUCACGUGUACAGGCAUACGUAUGUCAGUUAAAAUAUUAUUAUGCAAUACUUUCUUAUCAAAUUUGUGUUAUCGAAAAAAAAUUAUAUUGGGAGUAAGAGAAAGAUUAUCUCUGAUCAUACCGAUUGGGUGUCGUCUUGCUAUGGGAUGUAAAGGUCUUAAUUUGCCUUUUCGCUGAACAAAGGUGUGAUUGGUCGUAGCCUUGAAAAUUCCUUUGCUGGAAACCUGUUGAGACUGGUGAUUGCUAGUGCAUAGGUGCAAGCAAAAGCUUAAGCAAAAAAAAAAAGAAGAAAACUGCAUAAGCAAGAUAGAACCCAAGUGACAAGUAAACUGAACGAAAGGCGAACGGGCAUACUUCGUUUCUCUGCAUUCGAGAUGAUGUGCAAUUGUUUCUGCUAAACUUCAAGCUACUUUUACGUAGACUUGAGUAUUACAGCAAGUAAGAACUUCUUAAAGAAAUAAAUGUAAC
rnacentral:lncRNA from 1 species